rnacentral:rRNA from 1 species
AGGAGUGCCCUUCGGGAACGUGUAAGACGAGGUGGUGCAUGGUUGUCGUCAGCUCGUGUCGUGAGAUGUUGGGUUAAGUCCCGCAACGAGCGCAACCCCUAUGUUUAGUUGCUAGCGAGUAAAGUCGAGCACUCUAGACAGACUGCCGGUGAUAAACCGGAGGAAGGUGGGGAUGACGUCAAAUCAUCAUGCCCCUUAUGUUCUGGGCUACACACGUGCUACAAUGGCCGGUACAAACGGAAGCGAAGCCGCGAGGUGAAGCAAAUCUGAUAAAACCGGUCUCAGUUCGGAUUGCAGGCUGCAACUCGCCUGCAUGAAGUCGGAAUCGCUAGUAAUCGCAGGUCAGCAUACUGCGGUGAAUACGUUCCCGGGCCUU